UACGUAGGCAGCGAGCGUUGUUCGGAAUUACUGGGCGUAAAGAGUGUGUAGGCGGUGCUCUAAGUUCGGUGUGAAAUCUCCUGGCUCAACUGGGAGGGUGCGCCGGAAACUGGAGUGCUUGAGCGUGGGAGAGGAAAGCGGAAUUCCUGGUGUAGCGGUGAAAUGCGUAGAUAUCAGGAGGAACACCUGUGGCGAAGGCGAGUCCCUGGACGAUACCUGACACUGAGGCACGAAAGCUAGGGGAGCAAACAGG
rnacentral:rRNA from 1 species